GACGAACGCUGGCGGCGUGCUUAACACAUGCAAGUCGAGCGGUAAGGCCUUUCGGGGUACACGAGCGGCGAACGGGUGAGUAACACGUGGGUGAUCUGCCCUGCACUUCGGGAUAAGCCUGGGAAACUGGGUCUAAUACCGGAUAUGACCUCCUAUCGCAUGGUGGGUGGUGGAAAGAUUUAUCGGUGCAGGAUGGGCCCGCGGCCUAUCAGCUUGUUGGUGGGGUAAUGGCCUACCAAGGCGACGACGGGUAGCCGACCUGAGAGGGUGACCGGCCACACUGGGACUGAGACACGGCCCAGACUCCUACGGGAGGCAGCAGUGGGGAAUAUUGCACAAUGGGCGAAAGCCUGAUGCGGCGACGCCGCGUGAGGGAUGACGGCCUUCGGGUUGUAAACCUCUUUCAGCAGGGACGAAGCGCAAGUGACGGUACCUGCAGAAGAAGCACCGGCUAACUACGUG
rnacentral:rRNA from 1 species